AUUCAUAUGUUGCCAUCUCAAAGAAAAAUAUCUACCACCCAAGCAAUUUGGUAGGAAAUCUGGUGGAAGAGCAUCACUUGGCUUCACCAAAUUGGACUAAAAAAGUUACUUGAGAUCAAAGAGACAAAAAGAUUUGGAAUAUGGAGAAGCUGGUAGUGUGUUACAGUAUUUUCUUAAGAAAACUGUGGGAAAUCCAUCAUUUUAUUAUGUAGUCCAAUUAGAUUGUAAAGAGCAAAUAUGUAAUAUAUUUUGGGCCGAUGCUCAAAUGAUAAUGGACUAUGCUCAAUUUGGUGAUGUAGUGACCUUUGACACUACUUACAAAUUAAAUAAUGAGCAUAGACCUUUUGGGACUUUUGUUGGAUUUAAUCAUCAUCGAGAAAGAAUGAUAUUCGGUGCAACAUUGAUGUAUGAUGAGACUUCCAAAUCAUUCACAUGGUUGUUUCAGAUUUUUUUGGAGGCAAUAUCAAACAAAGCUCCAAUAACUAUUUUCACAGAUCAAGAUACUGCGAUGGCUAAGGCUAUUCCAAUUGUCAUGCCUAAUACAAACCACCGACUUUGCACAUGGCAUUUGAUGCAAAAUGCUGUGAAGCAUGCAUGUUCUCUUUUUGGAGAUGUAGGGAUAAAGGGUGUGUUUUCAAAAUUUAUGCAUGAAAUUGAUGAUGAAGAAGAAUUCAUAAUACAAUGGGACCAAAUGCUUGAUAGGUGUGAUGCACGCAACAAUCAUUGGUUGGAGCAAACUUUUGGUGUGAAGGAGAAAUGGGGAUGGCCAUAUAUUAUGAAUUCUUGGGCAGCUGGAAUGAGUAUUACUCAACUAAGUGAAUCAUUUAAUGCAUUUUUGAAGGAUUAUCCCAAUUGUGAUCAUAACUUGAUGGAAUUUUUCAUGCAUUUUGAGACGGUACUCUAUGACAAGAGGUAUAAAGAAUUAGAAGUCGAGUAUAAUAUGUCCCAAAAAUUGCCAAGGGUUUCCAUUCCAACUUUGAUGUUAAAGCAAAUGGCAGAUAUUUACACCAAAAUAAUUUUGGAGGAAUUCCAAAAUGUGUAUGUGCAAUCCAUUGAAGUAUCUAUUGUAGGCAUUAUUAAUGAUGGUGAGAGUACCAUGUUCACAAUUCGAACGGUGAUAAAUGGAAAAAAGAAAGAUAAGAAUGUGACAAUAGAUAGAGAUAGUUCUUUGAGUUGUAGUUGCAAGAAGUUUGAAGUGAAGGGCAUAGUGUGUCGACAUUGUCUGAAGGUGCUCAGAGAUAUAUUCAAUGCAACAGACCUUCUUGCAUAAUACAUAUUGAAAUGAUGGACUAAAAAAGCAAGGGCUAAAAGUGUGAAAGAUAGCCGUGGAUAAGAUGUCAAGGCUGAUGUGAAAUUACAUCAAAACGACCGACAUAGGUCAUUGAUGAAUAUGUUUAGAGCAAUAGCAAGUAGAGCCGUUGAAAGUCGAAAAACUUAUCAUUUGUCACUUGCAAAAGGUGAAGAAUUGAGUGUAAUGGUUGAAGACAAAUUAAGUAUGCACACUUGUGGUCAAGUGGAGGUCACUGAAUUGAGAAAUUUGUCAACUAACACAUGCCCAUAGAGUGAUGAAGUAGAUUGUCUAAUCCAAGCUAAGGAACUCAAGAAAAGACAAGCAACUAGUAAGGGAAGAAGAAGGAUCAAGGGCAGGAUGGAAAAAUCUAUUGCAAAGAAGAAAAGAAUGCAAUCUAAGUAGGUAAUUGUUAUGUGAUAUGUGUUACCAAUUUUGUGUUAUGUGUGUUGGAAAAGUAAUGAAUUAAAAAAAUUGGUCAUUUGUAGGGUGGUACUUUUUGUACUCUCGAAGGUCAAUCUGAGCCUCUUGCCGCCAUGGGUAAUAAUUCUAUUCAGGAUGGUUCUUUUUGUGCGUCCCAAGGUCAAUCUCAACCUCCUUUGGCCAUUGGUAAUCAUUCAAUACAGGGUGUUACUGUUUAUACUUCCCAAGGUCAAUCUCAGCUUCCUUUCAUUAUGGGUAGUAAUUAUGUUGAGGGUCAUGGUCAUGGUGCCUAUAUUUCUCAAUCUCGACCUGUAUUUCAAACUCAACCUCCCUUUGCCAUGGGUCAUACAAGUGUUCAUCAUGUCAUGUAUCCUACAUAUGAUGGAAGUAACACGUGUCAGUCAAUGCCUUUAGUCUAUCCCAUUCAGACAUCAUUUCAGGAGUUGCUUCGAGGUAUUACUGUUCAAUACUUUGCAGUCCAAAUGUCGCAAGCCUUACAUAGUCCUGUUGACAGUCAUGUACAAGGACAUCCCUGAACGAACGAUGAUGUUAUUAUGUUUUUCAGAUUUGGGUGUAUUUUUUUAUGUUGUUCAGAUUUAGGUCAUUAUUGAUGUUAUUUUUUUGCAAUGGGAACAAUGUUUGGAAAGUAUAUGUUUGGGAACAAUGGGAACAAUGUUUGCAAUGGGAACA